AAAAGUGCCAUCUACAACUGCAUGCUAAUGAUUGCCAAAAUCACUGUUUGUUUUGUUGGAAGGCUUUCAAUCUUGCGGGGUCUUGAAGAGCCUGUUUCAGUAACUUGCCAUUAAUUCUCUCUUACAUUCCAAUCCUAAAAAAUGCUUCCAUCUUUUAGCUGCAACAGUUUAUAAUCAUCAGAAAGGUCUAGUCAGAAUAAUAUUACCUUCUCCUUUUAAACAGUUUUUUUUUUUUAAAUCAUGCCACUACAACUGUAGCUGCGCUCAUGUUAACAAUUAAUUCCUAUAAUCGACAUCAAAAUUAUAUGAAAGAAUUAACACUUGGUUACCGAGUUACCAUAUUUGAAGAUAACGCGAAAGGUAAAAACACAAAAGGCAAGCAUGACCAAGCAAACAAGGUAUGGACAUUGAUUUUUUUGAAUCGGGAAUGACCAAAUGGGACCGUGAAGAGGUGACAAAGGAGAAAUCAGGCAUUCACGGUUUCCAUUGGAUGAAAUGAGAUAAGAUCACUGUGCUUCUUCCACGUGGCAGGUUGCCAAAGAUAAGGCUUUACCAUUCAAGAAAAGUUUCCACCCUCUUUGUGGUCAUUAUGGUUGUAAUGUCAUCUGAUUUAGGAUCCAACGGUCACCCUGUCUCCCAAACCAAUCUCUAAAUGUGGUGAGCUUAGACCAAAUUUUAUGACUAUAUAUAGGGGAUUGCACCAAGGCAGUGACACUAUUAAGGGAUCAGUGAGACUCUUUUGUAUACCUGUAGCAUAUAGUAAUAGUAAGCAGUAAUAGCAAUGGCCUCCUCCAUGAUCUCAUCGGCAACCAUUGCCACCGUGAACCGCUCCUCCCCGGCACAGGCCAACAUGGUGGCCCCCUUCACCGGCCUCAAAUCUGCCUCUGCUUUCCCAGUCACCAGGAAGGCCAACAACGACAUCACUUCUCUUGCAAGCAACGGUGGGAGAGUGCAAUGCAUGCAGGUACUUGGUGAUGCAUAAAUACCACUUAAAUUACCCCAAGUGUUUGAACACAACAAAUUACAUAAAUUGAAUCAAAUAUAUAUCUUGGCUUUUGAGUACAGGUGUGGCCGCCUCUUGGGAAGAAGAAGUUCGAGACUCUCUCAUACCUGCCCGAUCUUACUCCCGUACAGUUGGCUAAGGAAGUAGAUUACCUUCUUCGCUCUAAAUGGAUUCCUUGCUUGGAAUUCGAAUUA
rnacentral:lncRNA from 1 species